AGGACGAACGCUUGCGGCGUGCCUAAGAAAUGCAAGUCGAGCGGGGGAAGCAAUUCCCUAGCGGCGAACGGUCGCGUAACACGUAGGCAACCUGUCCGAAAGACCGGGACAACAUUUCGAAAGAGGUGCUAAUACCGGAUGCGGUCGGAGGAAGACAUCUUCAUCCGCCUAAAUCAUUUAUGGCUUUCGGAGGGGCCUGCGGCCUAUCAGCUAGAUGGCGAGGUAACGGCUCACCAUGGCGACGACGGGUAGCUGGUCUGAGAGGAUGGUCAGCCGGACUGGGACUGAGAGACGGCCCAGACUCCUACGGGGGGCAGCAAUUAGGAAUCUUGCGCAAUGGGGGCAACCCUGACGCAGCGACGCCGCGUGGAGGAGGACGGCCUUAGGGUUGUAAACUCCUUUUGACGAGGAAGAAAAAUGACGGUACUCGUCGAAUAAGCCCGGCUAACUCCGUGCCAGCAGCCGC
rnacentral:rRNA from 1 species